rnacentral:lncRNA from 1 species
UUUUAAGCUAAUGCCAAAAGUGCUUUUUGGAUGUUUAUGUUAACCUUAUGGAUAAAGCUUCAAACUGAGUAAUUUGUUUAGUUAUUUUUCAGUUUUUUAAGCGUUUUUGAAAAGUGCUUUUUGAAUAAGCUGUUUUUUGAUUUUGAAUUGGUUUUUGCAGGUGAAGUGAUGUUGAUGCUGAUUGAUUGAAAAAGGGGCACUAUUAUUCAACAGGUUUUUUGGAAAAGUUCUGAAGAGUUGCUUUUGAAUUGAGAACUUCCAAAAGAGCUUUUGGAAGAGUCUGUGAAAUUUGCUGUCUUAUUCCAAUUUUUUAAUAAAAUUAUUUCUGAUGUAACAGAGACCUUUUAGAUUAUGAACUUAGGGAUUGCUUGUAACAUGUACAAACUUUAAUUUGGAAUUUCUCUUUUUGGCCAGUUAUGCAAUUGUUUUGGAUUAUUAGGAAUUUUUUUGAAUUAAA